rnacentral:rRNA from 1 species
GAUGAACGCUGGCGGCGUGCCUAAUACAUGCAAGUCGAGCGAACAGACGAGGAGCUUGCUCCUCUGACGUUAGCGGCGGACGGGUGAGUAACACGUGGAUAACCUACCUAUAAGACUGGGAUAACUUCGGGAAACCGGAGCUAAUACCGGAUAAUAUAUUGAACCGCAUGGUUCAAUAGUGAAAGGCGGUUUUGCUGUCACUUAUAGAUGGAUCCGCGCCGCAUUAGCUAGUUGGUAAGGUAACAGCUUACCAAGGCAACGAUGCGUAGCCGACCUGAGAGGGUGAUCGGCCACACUGGAACUGAGACACGGUCCAGACUCCUACGGGAGGCAGCAGUAGGGAAUCUUCCGCAAUGGGCGAAAGCCUGACGGAGCAACGCCGCGUGAGUGAUGAAGGUCUUCGGAUCGUAAAACUCUGUUAUUAGGGAAGAACAAAUGUGUAAGUAACUAUGCACGUCUUGACGGUACCUAAUCAGAAAGCCACGGCUAACUACGUG